rnacentral:lncRNA from 1 species
GUGUGGAUUGCGGUAUCGAAAGCGGACUCAAUGAGCAUUUUUGUUUUAUUUUUUCAGUUUGAGAUUUUCUGAAAAUGAGCAUUUUUGUGUUACGCUUACUGAAACAGAUUAGAGGGUCAAUUUUUUAAUGGUUUAUAUAUGAACCCAUAAGAAACGAAAUUGAAAAAUCUCAACUUUUUUCUUCCAUUUUUUAUGAGUGAAAACG